rnacentral:rRNA from 1 species
GACGAACGCUGGCGGCGUGCUUAACACAUGCAAGUCGAACGGUGAUGCUCCAGCUUGCUGGAGUGGAUCAGUGGCGAACGGGUGAGUAACACGUGAGCAACCUGCCCCAGACUCUGGAAUAAGCGCUGGAAACGGCGUCUACUCCUGUAUACGAAACUGCCCCGCAUUGGCAUGGUUUGGACUGUUUUUCGGUUUGGGAUGGGCUCGCGGCCUAUCAGCUUGUUGGUUAGGUAAUUGCUCACCAAGGCGACGACGGGUAGCCGGCCUGAGAGGGCGACCGGCCACACUGGGACUGAGACACGGCCUAGACUCCUACGGGAGGCAGCAGUGGGGAAUAUUGCACAAUGGGAGAAAGCCUGAUGCAGCGACGCCGCGUGAGGGAUGACGGCCUGCGGGUUGUAAACCGCUUUCAGCAGGGAAGAAGCGAAAGUGACGGUACCUGCAGAAGAAGCACCGGCUAACUACGUG